UUCAAUAGCUGUUUCUACUUUUUGCGAAGCGAGAAAAAUCGUGCAACCAAUCAGAAGUCGGUUUUCCACUAGGCGAAUUUAUUCGCGCGAAUCGAUUUCGCAUUCACAUUUCUAUCGGAGUUUUCGCUUUAGCGAAAUUCGUAGUUCGAAAAGUUUCUACUUUUUGCGAAGCGAAAAAAUGCACAGCUAAUCAGAGCUCAGGAACCGAACCGACGCCUUCGAUUCGCUCCAAUAAAUUCGCCUAGUAGAAAACCGGAAGAGAGGAAGAGAGGGAGUAAAUGCACUUAACGUAUACGGUAUCCUGCAACGAUGUAAACAAUGUACCACAACCCUAUUUCAACACGUUCCAAAGUCGUCUGAUACAGGCUGAUCUGACCUUGGAAGUUGUGAAGCUUAUAUUUUAUUAGUCCACCACAUCCUUAUUCAUCAUAUUAACCACCAAAUGCGUGUCAACCAUAUCCUUAAAGCAUGACGUCAGUAUGGUCAAGAAUGUCAGGUGGAUGCUGUCGAUCGGCGAAUGCCAAAGUGGCUUCGAUCAUCCUGAUCAUUAUUGGAAUAAUAUCAGUCAUUGCGGCAAUAGUUGUUUUCGCAGUUUUUGCAUCUAAUGACUCGGCAAUUUUUGGUGUACCAGCAAUUGUCGCUGGAGUGAUGUUGAUUACAGAGGGCGUGCUCGGUCUCAUCUUUGCCAACAAUGCGAAAAAUAGAUGUUGGAUGAUAACAGUCAACGUCGUUUCAAUUAUCAUGGUGGUGAUCUCGAUUGCAUGGUUACUUGGAAGCCUAAGUUUUGUUGGAAUAUUCACCGCCCUCAAAGUGGGUUGCAAUGCAUGCGGUCCAGAUGACUACUGCGAAAACUGUGGCAUUGAUCCCGACCGAACUCUAGUCGCCCCCUUAGUUCGGACCUCUCCGUCGGACAUGUAGGACACUUGUCGGCAAAUUUUGGAGCCACCGCAGAAUAGUCUUUUCAGUAUGUUAUCCCCAGCUUAGUGUUUAUGGUUCUAUUAUCAGCCAUUACUCUUGCGACGUCAAUCGUGUUGAUUGUUUCAUCUUGUACUUGCCGCAGAUCAAAUAUGGAUUCUGCCCCAAUAUAAUGCUAUUGUUGGGUCGUUGCUUAUUCUGCUGAACCAAAAAUAUUAAUAUGCAUUAAACAUCAACGUGGACGUACAUUAAUGCACCUAUUUUGUAUUCAUUUUUAUUGAAUGCAUUGUAGUUUUAGAUAGUUAACAUUUAGAAUUAUCAAUCAAAAAGUUUUUUUACUUUUGUAAAAUAUUUAAUUUAAAUUUGUGAUUUCAAAUUUACCCAUCUAUGAAACAAUCAAACGUAAGAAGAGGCCUACAAAAUCAAAUACAUUAAGGCCCAUUGAAUGUAUCGGUAGUUUUAUACAUGCGAUAGGCCUAUUUCAAUUUUCUUAUUUCAUUAGGCCUAUACUUUUGUAAAAUAUUUAAUAAAACUGUAGUUUGUACUGAAAGAA
rnacentral:misc_RNA from 1 species